UACGUAGGGUGCAAGCGUUAAUCGGAAUUACUGGGCGUAAAGCGUGCGCAGGCGGUUGUGCAAGACAGAUGUGAAAUCCCCGGGCUCAACCUGGGAAUUGCAUUGUGACUGCACGGCUAGAGUGUGUCAGAGGGGGGUAGAAUUCCACGUGUAGCAGUGAAAUGCGUAGAGAUGUGGAGGAAUACCGAUGGCGAAGGCAGCCCCCUGGGAUAACACUGACGCUCAUGCACGAAAGCGUGGGGAGCAAACAGG
rnacentral:rRNA from 1 species